UUGCCUUAGUAACGGCGAGUGAAGCGGCAACAGCUCAAAUUUGAAAUCUGGCUUCGGCCCGAGUUGUAAUUUGUAGAGGAUGUUUAUGGUGCGGUACCUUCCGAGUUCCCUGGAACGGGACGCCACAGAGGGUGAGAGCCCCGUCUGGUUGGAUACCAAACCUGUGUUAAACUCCUUCAACGAGUCGAGUAGUUUGGGAAUGCUGCUCUAAAUGGGAGGUAAAUCUCUUCUAAAGCUAAAUACCGGCCAGAGACCGAUAGCGCACAAGUAGAGUGAUCGAAAGAUGAAAAGCACCUUGAAAAGGGGGUUAAACAGUACGUGAAAUUGUUGAAAGGGAAGCGUUUAUGACCAGACUUGUGCCGUGUGGCUCAUCCGAGGUUCUCCCCGGUGCACUCCACACGGUUCAGGCCAACAUCGGUUUUCGCCGGGGGAUAAGAACAGUAGGAACGUAGCUCCCCUCGGGGAGUGUUAUAGCCUAUUGUACGAUACCCUGGCGGGGACCGAGGACCGCGCUUCGGCUAGGAUGUUGGCGUAAUGGUCAUUAGCGACCCG
rnacentral:rRNA from 1 species